UACGGAGGGUGCAAGCGUUAUCCGGAUUUACUGGGUUUAAAGGGUGCGUAGGCGGUCCUUUAAGUCAGUGGUGAAAGCUCCGAGCUUAACUCGGAAACUGCCAUUGAUACUAUUGGUCUUGAAUUCGGUCGAGGUUGGCGGAAUGUGUCGUGUAGCGGUGAAAUGCUUAGAUAUGACACAGAACACCGAUUGCGAAGGCAGCUAGCUAGACCGACAUUGACGCUGAGGCACGAAAGCGUGGGGAUCAAACAGG
rnacentral:rRNA from 1 species